AUGUAUCUACAAACAUGUGUUAUAUUAUAACUAUAAUCUUUUUUAAAAAAAAAAUUUUCUGGUUAAAUUUUAUUAAUAUUGUGUAAUAAUUCGAAUGUUUAGUUUUCAAGAAUCUUUCGUUAAUUCUUAAUUUUAAUGAUAAAAAAUUAGCAAUAUAGUUAUAGAAAACUUUAUUAUGCUGCGACAGAAUAGAUACCUAUCAUUUUCUUUAUAUUCACUUAGUUGUAUUGUUGGGAAAUUCUAAAUCAAGUUUAGAUAUAAAUUAAAACCCUUUUUGGACCUCUAAACUAGAAUAAAAUCAUUCGAAGCAACUCCUCCCGAAGACUUUCCUGGACCGUUUUACGAAUUAGAUUUAAAUUUUAUAUCGAGUCAAAUGGAUUCAUUCACUUAUUCAAUCAACUUAAUUUGUAAUAGUUCAAAAUCAAAUCAAAAUUCUCAACAUUAAUGAUCUGGCAUGGCGAAAACAAAUGAGGGGUGCAUGGUGAAUUAAAAAUAAUAACUAUCAAUAAAUGUGGAUUAAAUAGCGUUUUAACGUAAUAGACCAUGCUCUUAAGAGACUUUUAGACCAGAGGUGGACUGUCAUUUAUACGCAUCUCGUAUCAUUGAUAAGAAUCUUGAAACUAUUGAUCAGGGUUGUCAGGUUUCCCCACCCCAUCAUCGGAAGACUCCCGCAAUUUUUUAGUUUACACGCUGACAUCUCAUUCCACAAAACUACCGCAAUAAGAAAUAUACGGCAAUUUUUAAAUUUCUCCCGCACAAUUUUUUUUUUAGAAUUUUAACGUUUUUAAUAUAUAAAUAAUAAUUUUGAGAAACAAUAAUUGAUUAUUUUGCCAAAUCACAAUCCCGGACGAAGGCCGGCACUUAUUUUUUUUAGCAAUUUUUAUAUUUCUACCACAAUUUUCAUUUUUCACCCGACCAAAUUUCUCCCGCAAUUUGAAAAUUUGUUGGCGAAGCAUUAUUUUAUUUUUCUAAUAGAACUCUUAACUCAGAAGUUUCCACUCAUAAUUCAAU